UACUACAUUGACGAAAAUCAAAAGGAGGACGAUGGUUUUCGAGCUUUGCAUCUUCAAGAGGACCUAGAACUUCAGGUUUUUAGGAAGAGUAAAGACUUCUUUAGCUUUGGAUAAGUAAUGGAAGAGAAUGUAAAUGGUUUAAGGGCUUUAGGGUUUUGUUUGCUGCUACUCGCGAAACCCAGAAUGAUUAUGCAGACAAAAAGCAGAGUGAGAGACAGCAGGAUGAGUUUUAGCACCAAAGAAAUGGAUUUAUGGCUUGCAGAAUCUUUGUGAUUUGAUUUUCACAGGGUUUCACACUUUUUGCUUCCUCUUCUUUCUCUUAUAGUGCCCUCCAGCAAGAGUGAGAGAGAAGGAGAAUGAGGAGGAAGAAAAGAUAGCGUUUUUGAAAGAAUGGAGCUAACUAGCUACGGGAGGAGACGAAUGCUCACAGUGAGCAGACACAGGUCAGAUUCUCG
rnacentral:misc_RNA from 1 species